UACAGAGGGUGCAAGCGUUGUUCGGAAUUAUUGGGCGUAAAGGGCGCGUAGGCGGUGCGGUAAGUCACCUGUGAAAUCUCCUGGCUCAACUGGGAGCUUGCAGGCGAAACUGCCGUGCUGGAGUGUGGGAGAGGUGCGUGGAAUUCCUGGUGUAGCGGUGAAAUGCGCAGAUAUCAGGAGGAACACCGGUGGCGAAGGCGGGUCUCUGGGCCGAUAUUGACGCUGAGGAGCGAAAGCGUGGGGAGCAAACAGG
rnacentral:rRNA from 1 species